rnacentral:rRNA from 1 species
GCAGUCGAACGAUGAAGCCCAGCUUGCUGGGUGGAUUAGUGGCGAACGGGUGAGUAACACGUGAGUAACCUGCCCUUGACUCUGGGAUAAGCCUGGGAAACUGGGUCUAAUACCGGAUAGGAACGUCCACCGCAUGGUGGUUGUUGGAAAGAUUUAUCGGUCAUGGAUGGACUCGCGGCCUAUCAGCUUGUUGGUGAGGUAAUGGCUCACCAAGGCGACGACGGGUAGCCGGCCUGAGAGGGUGACCGGCCACACUGGGACUGAGACACGGCCCAGACUCCUACGGGAGGCAGCAGUGGGGAAUAUUGCACAAUGGGCGAAAGCCUGAUGCAGCGACGCCGCGUGAGGGAUGACGGCCUUCGGGUUGUAAACCUCUUUCAGUAGGGAAGAAGCGAAAGUGACGGUACCUGCAGAAGAAGCACCGGCUAACUACGUGCCAGCAGCCGCGGUAAUACGUAGGGUGCGAGCGUUAUCCGGAAUUAUUGGGCGUAAAGAGCUCGUAGGCGGUUUGUCGCGUCUGUCGUGAAAGUCCGGGGCUUAACCCCGGAUCUGCGGUGGGUACGGGCAGACUAGAGUGCAGUAGGGGAGACUGGAAUUCCUGGUGUAGCGGUGGAAUGCGCAGAUAUCACGAGGAACACCGAUGGCGAAGGCAGGUCUCUGGGCUGUAACUGACGCUGAGGAGCGAAAGCAU